AGAGUUUGAUCCUGGCUCAGGAUGAACGCUAGCGGCAGGCUUAACACAUGCAAGUCGAGGGGUAGAGUUCUUCGGAAUUUGAGACCGGCGCACGGGUGCGUAACGCGUAUGCAAUCUGCCUUUUACAGAGGGAUAGCCCAGAGAAAUUUGGAUUAAUACCUCAUAGCAUAGCAGCUUCGCAUGAAGCCACUAUUAAAGUCACAACGGUAAAAGAUGAGCAUGCGUCCCAUUAGCUAGUUGGUAAGGUAACGGCUUACCAAGGCAACGAUGGGUAGGGGUCCUGAGAGGGAGAUCCCCCACACUGGUACUGAGACACGGACCAGACUCCUACGGGAGGCAGCAGUGAGGAAUAUUGGACAAUGGGCGCAAGCCUGAUCCAGCCAUGCCGCGNGCAGGAUGACGGUCCUAUGGAUUGUAAACUGCUUUUGUACGAGAAGAAACACUCCUAUGUAUAGGAGCUUGACGGUAUCGUAAGAAUAAGGAUCGGCUAACUCCGUGCCAGCCGCCGCGGUAA
rnacentral:rRNA from 1 species